rnacentral:rRNA from 1 species
CCCGGGUCUUGUACACACCGCCCGUCACACCACGAGAGUUUAUAACACCCGAAGUCGGUGGGGUAACCGCAAGGAGCCAGCCGCCGAAGGUGGGAUAGAUGAUUGGGGUG